GGCCUUGGGUGCAGGCUGCCCUUUUGGCUCCUCAGCAAAAGCUUGCCAUGUUUGGGGUUCUGGACUUGGUGAUGGACUGCUCGCAAACAUUUGCUGCUGCAGUUCCCAGACUGUCCCUUCAAUUUUCUCCCUCGGCGGAGUUAUUGAUUUCGAGCUCCCUGGGGAGAUCUGGCUCUUUGAGCUGUCCUUGCUUGGUGGCGAGGGACUAGCAGCAGCAAGUGACUGCUUCAGUUCCUGAAUCUCUUGCCUCUGCGAGCGACAAAUGGCAGACAGCUUCUCAUAUUUAGAUGUUACCUCAGCCUUCUCCAAAUUAGCAUUCUUCAGCAGUUCCUUCAGCCUG
rnacentral:misc_RNA from 1 species